rnacentral:rRNA from 1 species
ACAGCAAUAUGAAGGUCAGGCUGAAGACCUUACCCGAUUAGCUGAGAGGUGGUGCAUGGCCGUCGUCAGUUCGUACUGUGAAGCAUCCUGUUAAGUCAGGCAACGAGCGAGACCCACGUCCACAGUUGCCAGCAUACCCUCCGGGGUGAUGGGUACACUGUGGAGACCGCCGCUGCUAAAGCGGAGGAAGGAGUGGGCAACGGUAGGUCAGUAUGCCCCGAAUCUCCCGGGCUACACGCGGGCUACAAUGGUUGGUACAAUGGGUAUCUACCCCGAAAGGGGAAGGAAAUCUCUUAAAGCCAAUCGUAGUUCGGAUUGAGGGCUGCAACUCGCCCUCAUGAAGCUGGAAUCCGUAGUAAUCGCGUUUCAACAGAACGCGGUGAAUACGUCCCUGCUCCUU